UUGAAGAGUUUGAUCAUGGCUCAGAUUGAACGCUGGCGGCAGGCUUAACACAUGCAAGUCGAGCGGUAACAGGAGUAGCUUGCUACUCGCUGACGAGCGGCGGACGGGUGAGUAACGCGUAGAAAACUGCCCAGUAGUGGGGGAUAGCCCGGGGAAACUCGGAUUAAUACCGCAUACGCUCUACGGAGGAAAGGGGGCUUAGGCUCUCGCUAUUGGAUGUGUCUGCGUGAGAUUAGCUAGUUGGUGAGGUAAGGGCUCACCAAGGCGACGAUCUCUAGCUGGUCUGAGAGGAUGAUCAGCCACACCGGAACUGAGA
rnacentral:rRNA from 1 species